AAUUCUCAACCUCCCCAAUUUCUUGGGGGUAAGGCUUGGACUUUGGAGGCAUUAUGCUGGUUUCCCUUUUGAAGCCAGCUCCUCUUAAACGAAUUAGUGGGGUCCCUCUUUGCCGGUCCCUCGACGUGAUAAGAUUUCUCUACGUCCGAGGUUUGGCUCUUUGUAGGCCCGCUUCUAACCGUCUCUUUCUCGAGACACGUUUGAACC
rnacentral:misc_RNA from 1 species